AAUCCUUUAACGAGGAUCUAUUGGAGGGCAAGUCUGGUGCCAGCAGCCGCGGUAAUUCCAGCUCCAAUAGCGUAUAUUAAAGUUGUUGUGGUUAAAAAGCUCGUAGUUGGAUCUCAGUUCGAGUCAGGCGGUCCACUUGCCAGUGGCUACUGCCUGACUGAACACUUUACCGAGUUGUCCUAUGGUGUUCUUCACCGAGCGUCAUAGGCGAUCGGUACGUUUACUUUGAAAAAAUUAGAGUGCUCAAAGCAGGCGUAACGCCCGAAUAAUGUUGCAUGGAAUAAUGGAAUAGGACCUCGGUUCUAUUUUGUUGGUCUUCGGAAUCAGAGGUAAUGAUCAAUAGGGACAGACGGGGACAUUCGUAUUGCGGCGCUAGAGGUGAAAUUCUUGGACCGUCGCAAGACGAACUAAAGCGAAAGCAUUUGUCAAGAAUGUUUUCAUUAAUCAAGAACGAAAGUUAGAGGUUCGAAGGCUAUCAGAUACCGCCCUAGUUCUAACCAUAAACGAUGCCAACCAGUAAUUCGUCUGAGUUCCUUAAAUGACUCGACGAGGGACUUCCGGGAAACCAAAGUCUUUCGGUUCCAGGGGAAGUAUGGUUGCAAAGCUGAAACUUAAAGAAAUUGACGGAAGGGCACCACCAGGAGUGGAGCCUGCGGCUUAAUUUGACCCAACACGGGAAAACUCACCCGGCCCGGACACUGGAAGGAUUGACAGAUUGAGAGCUCUUUCUUGAUUCAGUGGGUGGUGGUGCAUGGCCGUUCUUAGUUGGUGGAGUGAUUUGUCUGGUUAAUUCCGAUAACGAACGAGACUCUAGCCUACUAAAUAGAUCGUCGGCUUACAAACGCCGGCGAGACUUCUUAGAGGGACAGGCGGUGAUUCAACCGCACGAAACAGAGCAAUAACAGGUCUGUGAUGCCCUUAGAUGUCCGGGGCCGCACGCGCGCUACACUGAAGUGAUCAGCGUGCUUUUUCAACCUACUCUGUCAAGAGUGGGGAACCCAAUGAACCUUCUUCGUGAUUGGGAUAGGGGAUUGUAAUUAUUCCCCUUGAACGAGGAAUUCCCAGUAAGCGCGAGUCAUAAGCCCGCGUUGAUUACGUCCCUGCCCUUUGUACACACCGCCCGUCGCUACUACCGAUUGAAUGUUUUAGUGAGGUCUUCGGACUGGCCGGCGCAGCACUCUCGUAGUGCAGCGCUGUGUUUGGAAAGAUGCCCAAACUUGAACAUUUAGAGGAAGUAAAAGUCGUAACAAGGUUUCCGUAGGUGAACCUGCGGAAG
rnacentral:rRNA from 1 species